CCUACGGGCGGCAGCAGUGGGGAAUUUUCCGCAAUGGGCGCAAGCCUGACGGAGCAACGCCGCGUGAAUGAAGAAGGUCUUCGGAGCGUAAAGUUCCGUUCUUAGGGAAGAAGUCUGAGGUAGUGAAUAAUGACUUAAGGUGACGGUACCUAUGGAGAAAGCUCCGGCUAACUCCGUGCCAGCAGCCGCGGUAAGACGUAGGGAGCGAGCGUUGUCCGGAAUUACUGGGCGGAAAGGGCGCGGAGGCGGGAGCUUAAGUUAGAUGUGAAAACUACGGGCUUAAACUGGAGACUGCAUUUGAAACUGGGUUUCUUGAGGGCAGUAGAGGAAAGUGGAAUUCGUGGUGUAGCGGUGAAAUGCGUAGAUAUUAGGAAGAACACCGAUGGCGAAGGCGGCUUUCUGGACUGUAACUGACGCUGAGGCGCGAAAGCAUGGGGAGCGAACAGGAUUAGAUACCCCGGUAGUC
rnacentral:rRNA from 1 species